AGAGUUUGAUCCUGGCUCAGGACGAACGCUGGCGGCGUGCUUAACACAUGCAAGUCGAACGGAAAGGCCCCUUCGGGGGUACUCGAGUGGCGAACGGGUGAGUAACACGUGGGCAAUCUGCCCUGCACUUCGGGAUAAGCCUGGGAAACUGGGUCUAAUACCGGAUAGGACCUUUAGGCGCAUGUCUUUAGGUGGAAAGCUUUUGCGGUGUGGGAUGGGCCCGCGGCCUAUCAGCUUGUUGGUGGGGUGAUGGCCUACCAAGGCGACGACGGGUAGCCGGCCUGAGAGGGUGUCCGGCCACACUGGGACUGAGAUACGGCCCAGACUCCUACGGGAGGCAGC
rnacentral:rRNA from 1 species